AUACUGUAUUGUUGAACGAUUUGGUUUUGAUUACACCGACGGAGGCUGAGUCUACAUUACUGAUAUGGAUUUUCAAAAUCCGGGUAUCAUUAUGUUCUCGCUACAAAAUAGAGACUCGUGGAAGAUUCACAAUGAUACUAUAAAAUCACAAGAAAUCCUUUACGAUUUAACUAUUGAAGGGGCGAGGAUGACGUAAAGAUGUCCAGUCAACGGAAUUGUCAAUAGCGGAUAAUUGUUAAAUUUAUUACGCUGCUGUUGCGUCAUUCGAUUUACAGAGUAUCUCAACGUCUUUCAUGAAAAGUCGCAUGAAUAUGGCUAAAGAUUUGUAUUUUACUUAUAUUUUACCCACGUAACAUAAAGAAUAAUUGUCAAUUUUUUUCUCUGUAGAACUCGUACAAUCGCACAUGGUCGGAAAUCAACGCUAACUGACGGUAUAGGAACUUAAAAAGUACGGAAGAUGGGUGUGCAUUGUCAACUCUUUCUGACGUCCGUCAGUUAAAAAACAGAUAUAAAAAAGGAAGUCAAGCUUCAGUCGCAAAAUAAAACAACACGUGGACGUCACGCUUACUCAAAAAAUUCAAGUGGAGACUUCGAGUCACAACUGCGCCACAAGACUUAUUAAUGGGAGCUGCCACACUUGAAGGUUAAGCCUCUACACUUUCCUCGAGGAUUGUUGCGUCUUGACGCUUAGUGUGCGUUAAGACGUGUGCGCUACAAGUAAAAUUCUAAGUUCCUCCAAGCUGAUAUAUUGAUCGAGAUUUAUUUACAUCAGAAACUAUAAUAGACAAUAAAAUAUUUCUGUAAAUUAAAAAAUGUUGUUAUCGUCUUUGUGAUAUGGUAACAAAAAAAUUAUGUUUAGUUACUAAUAAUUACUGUUAAUAAAAUUUGAGUAAACAAUAAUACUAACGUAAUUAACAAAAAGCUUAAAUGUAUACGCACACCUGUCAUCUAUUUGAUUUUAGUUAAUGGUUUAUAAGUUAUGUUACUUCUGUAUAAAAAAAUUGUAUAUUGUGCAAAUCUGAGUAUCUUCAACAAUGAUUAUAUUAAUACAAGCAAAGGUAUAAAAAUUAGUCAACAU